CCUACGGGAUGCAGCAGUGAGGAAUAUUGGUCAAUGGACGAGAGUCUGAACCAGCCACGUAGCGUGAAGGAUGACUGCCCUAUGGGUUGUAAACUUCUUUUAUAAAGGAAUAAAACGAGGCACGUGUGCCUUUUUGCAUGUACUUUAUGAAUAAGGAUCGGCUAACUCCGUGCCAGCAGCCGCGGUAAUACGGAGGAUCCGAGCGUUAUCCGGAUUUAUUGGGUGUAAAGGGAGCGUAGAUGGGUUGUUAAGUCAGUUGUGAAAGUUUGUGGCUCAACCGUAAAAUUGCAAUUGAUACUGGAAGUCUUGAGUACAGUAGAGGUAGGCGGAAUUCGUGGUGUAGCGGUGAAAUGCUUAGAUAUCACGAAGAACCCCGAUUGCGAAGGCAGCUUACUAAACUGUGACUGACAUUGAUGCUCGAAAGUGUGGGUAUCAAACAGGAUUAGAUACCCCGGUAGUC
rnacentral:rRNA from 1 species